rnacentral:rRNA from 1 species
UCAGGCCUAACACAUGCAAGUCGUACGAGAGUUUUUAACUCUGGUGGCGGACGGGUGAGUAACACGUGAGAAUUUGCCUUUAGGAGGGGGACAACAAUUGGAAACGAAUGCUAAUACCCCAUAUGCUUUCGAGUGAAAUGGAUUUUAUCCGCCUAGAGAGAAGCUCGCGGCUGAUUAGCUUGUUGGUAAGGUAAGAGCUUACCAAGGCGACGAUCAGUAUCUGGUUUGAGAGGACGAUCAGACACACUGGAACUGAGACACGGUCCAGACUCCUACGGGAGGCAGCAGUGGGGAAUUUUCCGCAAAGGGCGAAAGCCUGACGGAGCAAUACCGCGUGA